GCCUUUGUAGCUCAGGGGUAGAGCACUUCCUUGGUAAGGAAGGGGUCAUGAGUUCAAUUCUCAUCAAAGGCU
rnacentral:tRNA from 1 species